UACGUAGCAGCGAGCGUUGUUCGGAAUUACUGGGCGUAAAGAGUGUGUAGGCGGUGCUCUAAGUUCGGUGUGAAAUCUCCUGGCUCAACUGGGAGGGUGCGCCGGAAACUGGAGUGCUUGAGCGUGGGAGAGGAAAGCGGAAUUCCUGGUGUAGCGGUGAAAUGCGUAGAUAUCAGGAGGAACACCUGUGGUGUAGACGGCUUUCUGGACCAUAGCUGACGCUGAGACACGAAAGCGUGGGUAGCAAACAGG
rnacentral:rRNA from 1 species